rnacentral:rRNA from 1 species
UACGUAGGGUGCGAGCGUUGUCCGGAAUUACUGGGCGUAAAGAGCUCGUAGGUGGUUUGUCGCGUUGUUCGUGAAAUUCCCUGGCUUAACUGGGGGCGUGCGGGCGAUACGGGCAGACUGGAGUACUGCAGGGGAGACUGGAAUUCCUGGUGUAGCGGUGAAAUGCGCAGAUAUCAGGAGGAACACCGGUGGCGAAGGCGGGUCUCUGGGCCGAUAUUGACGCUGAGGAGCGAAAGCGUGGGGAGCAAACAGG